rnacentral:rRNA from 1 species
CACGCCGUAAACGAUGGAUACUAGCUGUUGGGAGUAAUCUCAGUGGCUAAGCGAAAGUGAUAAGUAUCCCACCUGGGGAGUACGAACGCAAGUUUGAAACUCAAAGGAAUUGACGGGGGC